AACGAACGCUGGCGGCAGGCUUAACACAUGCAAGUCGAACGCAUCCUUCGGGGUGAGUGGCAGACGGGUGAGUAACGCGUGGGAACGUGCCCUUCAGUUCGGGAUAACCCAGGGAAACUUGGGCUAAUACCGGAUACGUGCGAGAGCAGAAAGAUUUAUCGCUGAAGGAUCGGCCCGCGUCUGAUUAGCUAGUUGGUGGGGUAAUGGCCCACCAAGGCGACGAUCAGUAGCUGGUCUGAGAGGAUGAUCAGCCACAUUGGGACUGAGACACGGCCCAAACUCCUACGGGAGGCAGCAGUGGGGAAUAUUGGACAAUGGGCGCAAGCCUGAUCCAACCAUGCCGCGUGAGUGAUGAAGGCCUUAGGGUUGUAAAGCUCUUUCGUCCGGGACGAUAAUGACGGUACCGGAAGAAGAAGCCCCGGCUAACCUCGUGCCAGCCGCCGCCGUAAAAC
rnacentral:rRNA from 1 species